AUGGGGUUUCCCAGCCAGAGCUGCAUGGACUCCACACUGCGUGUCUUUGGAAAUCAGCAACAAGCAGAAUAAAAAGGGCCAACAAUGUCAGAGGAAAUCCAAAUGCGAAGUGUUGCUCACAAUGAAGCACCCUGUGGUCAACUUCAGAACCAACAAGCUGAACAUCGUAUAGAAAUACCUU